rnacentral:rRNA from 6 species
AAAUGACUCUCGGCAACGGAUAUCUCGGCUCUCGUAUCGAUGAAGAACGUAGCGAAAUGCGAUACUUGGUGUGAAUUGCAGAAUCCCGUGAACCAUCGAGUCUUUGAACGCAAGUUGCGCCCGAAGCCUUCAGGCUAAGGGCACGUCUGCCUGGGCGUCACACAU